AUUGAACGCUGGCGGCAUGAUUUACACAUGCAAGUCGAACGGUAACAGGCCGCAAGGUGCUGACGAGUGGCGAACGGGUCAGUAAUGCAUCGGAACGUGCCCAGUCGUGGGGGAUAACUACUCGAAAGAGUAGCUAAUACCGCAUACGAUCUAUGGAUGAAAGCGGGGGACCGUAAGGCCUCGCGCGAUUGGAGCGGCCGAUGUCAGAUUAGGUAGUUGGUGGGGUAAAGGCUCACCAAGCCAACGAUCUGUAGCUGGUCUGAGAGGACGACCAGCCACACUGGGACUGAGACACGGCCCAGACUCCUACGGGAGGCAGCAGUGGGGAAUUUUGGACAAUGGGCGCAAGCCUGAUCCAGCAAUGCCGCGUGCAGGAAGAAGGCCUUCGGGUUGUAAACUGCUUUUGUACGGAACGAAACGGCUCUGGUUAAUACCCGGGGCUAAUGACGGUACCGUAAGAAUAAGCACCGGCUAACUACGUG
rnacentral:rRNA from 1 species